rnacentral:rRNA from 1 species
GCGCAUGGCGGGUAUUUCUCUAAGCUAAUACUCGGCCGGAGACCGAUAGCGCACAAGUAGAGUGAUCGAAAGAUGAAAAGCACUUUGAAAAGAGAGUUAAACAGCACGUGAAAUUGUUGAAAGGGAAGCGCUUGCGACCAGACUCGCCUCCGGGGUUCAGCCGGCAUUCGUGCCGGUGUACUUCCCCGGGGGCGGGCCAGCGUCGGUUUGGGCGGGCGGUCAAAGGCUCCUGGAAUGUAUCGCCCUCCGGGGCGUCUUAUAGCCGGGAGUGCAAUGCGGCCAGCCUGGACCGAGGAACGCGCUUCGGCACGGACGCUGGCAUAAUGGUCGUAAACGACCCGUCUUGAAACACGGACCAAGGAGUCUAACAUCUACGCAAGUGUUCGGGUGUCAAACCCGUACGCGCAGUGAAAGCGAACGGAUGUGGGAGCCCCCUCGGGGGGCGCACCAUCCACCGAUGCUGAUGUCUUCUGAUGGAUUUGAGUAACAUCGUUGAUGUGGAGACCCGAAAGAUGAUGAAUUAUCCCAGAAAAUGCAGAACCAAGAGAAAACUAUGGGAGAGGCUCACUUCUCUUAUCACCUACUCAUCAGUCGAUAAAUUUCGUAAUAAGCAUUAGCUACUCUAACUUAAAGCUAUCUUACUCUUACGUAAAAAAAAUCUAACUGAUACGUACGCCGCUCACCGCUAAAUAAGCAAGAUUCAAAUCACUUCGAUCGACUUGAAUGUCAUAUGUUACGCACCAGUCAUCAUUCGACGAUCAACCACAUCCAAAAACUAUAAAUCUUCGUUAUUAUUUAUAUUGAAUCAUACUUUAUUAUCUCAUCUUUUCUUUUAUUGUGCUUAUUAUUAUAUGUUUUAU